UAAGGAAUAUUGGUCAAUGGACGCAAGUCUGAACCAGCCAUGCCGCGUGAAGGAUUAAGGUCCUCUGGAUUGUAAACUUCUUUUAUCUGGGACGAAAAAGGGUCUUUCUAGACCAACUGACGGUACCAGAUGAAUAAGCACCGGCUAACUCCGUGCCAGCAGCCGCGGUAAUACGGAGGGUGCAAGCGUUAUCCGGAUUCACUGGGUUUAAAGGGUGCGUAGGCGGGCAGGUAAGUCAGUGGUGAAAUCCUGGAGCUCAACUCCAGAACUGCCAUUGAUACUAUCUGUCUUGAAUAUUGUGGAGGUAAGCGGAAUAUGUCAUGUAGCGGUGAAAUGCUUAGAUAUGACAUAGAACACCCAUUGCGAAGGCAGCUUACUACGCAUAUAUUGACGCUGAGGCACGAAAGCGUGGGGAUCAAACAGGAUUAGAUACCCUGGUAGUCCACGCCCUAAACGAUGGAUACUCGACAUACGCGAUACACUGUGUGUGUCUGAGCGAAAGCAUUAAGUAUCCCACCUGGGAAGUACGUUCGCAAGAAUG
rnacentral:rRNA from 1 species